rnacentral:rRNA from 1 species
AUAUGGAUACCUUCAGUUCGGCUGGACCGGUGACAGGUGCUGCAUGGCUGUCGUCAGCUCGUGUCGUGAGAUGUUGGGUUAAGUCCCGCAACGAGCGCAACCCUCGCCCUUAGUUGCCAGCAUUCAGUUGGGCACUCUAAGGGGACUGCCGGUGAUAAGCCGAGAGGAAGGUGGGGAUGACGUCAAGUCCUCAUNGCCCUUACGGGCUGGGCUACACACGUGCUACAAUGGUGGUGACAGUGGGCAGCGAGACCGCGAGGUCGAGCUAAUCUCCAAAAGCCAUCUCAGUUCGGAUUGCACUCUGCAACUCGAGUGCAUGAAGUUGGAAUCGCUAGUAAUCGCGGAUCAGCAUGCCGCGGUGAAUACGUCCCGGCCUU